rnacentral:rRNA from 1 species
UACGUAGGGUGCAAGCGUUAUUCGGAAUUACUGGGCGUAAAGCGUGCGCAGGCGGUUAUGCAAGACAGAUGUGAAAUCCCCGGGCUCAACCUGGGAACUGCAUUUGUGACUGCAUGGCUGGAGUGCGGCAGAGGGGGAUGGAAUUCCGCGUGUAGCAGUGAAAUGCGUAGAUAUGCGGAGGAACACCGAUGGCGAAGGCAAUCCCCUGGGCCUGCACUGACGCUCAUGCACGAAAGCGUGGGGAGCAAACAGG